rnacentral:rRNA from 1 species
UACCCGCUGAACUUAAGCAUAUCAAUAAGCGGAGGAU